rnacentral:rRNA from 1 species
UACGGAGGGUGCAAGCGUUGUCCGGAAUCACUGGGCGUAAAGGGCGCGUAGGUGGCGUCGCAAGUCAACGGUGAAAGCUCGACGCUCAACGUCGAGUCGGCCGUCGAGACUGCGAGGCUUGAGCACUGUAGAGGCAGAUGGAAUUCCGGGUGUAGCGGUGGAAUGCGUAGAGAUCCGGAAGAACACCGGUGGCGAAGGCGGUCUGCUGGGCAGUUGCUGACACUGAGGCGCGACAGCGUGGGGAGCAAACAGG